AACAAAAAAAGGAAUUGUUGGCAGAGACAGAAGAAAGUAAGUGUGUAUAGCGUAGAUGGAGAGAGAAUCUAGAAAGGAGUCCUCUCCAAUUCCAAUUUUAUUUAUAUAUUACUUGUAAUUAUUAUUAUUAUUAUAUUUUCGAUAUAGAUUCUCAUUGUUCUAAUCACGUGAAUUGGUGACACAAUUUCAUAUUCUGAACUGAAACUUUUUUUAUUAAUAGUUAAUACUACUACUUCUACAUAAUAUGUAUAUACAUACAUGUUUGUGUGGAGUUUGCUAAAAAUUGACAGGAGAAGUGAGAAGUGAAGUUGAUAGCAUUAAAAAAACAAGGGAAGAAAGAAAAGGAAGGACCCCACAGGCACAAAUGCUUGAAAAUGAAACCCAGUCGACUUCUAUUGUCAUGAGUCGUUGUGCUUGCGAAACAAAUUCAGGGGUAAGUCCUAAUAAGUAUUGCUUUUAAUUUUUCUUUUGGUCUGAAAAAAUCCCAAAUCCCAGAAUUCUCACAACUUCUUCUGUCGUUCUCUCAUGGCCUCGGGAGCUGGGACUGGUUUCGACGUCGACGUGCAUGGUGACUACAACGAAAUGGCGUCGUUUAAGAGCCGGGCGCUUCAAACGCAAGAGAGUUAUCAGUUGCAGCUCGCUUUGGCGCUUCGCCUUUCUUCUCAGGCUGCUUCAGCUGAUGAUCCCAAUUUCUUGGACUUCAAAUCCCAAACCCAAUCCCAUGAUCAGGGUGUUGAGCCCAUGGCUUAUCGUUUCUGGGUGAAUGGUAGUUUAUCUUACUCUGACAAAAUACCAGAUGGGUUUUACCUCAUUGAUGGACUGGACCCAUAUGCAUGGAAUUUAAGCACUGAUCCACAAGCCUCUGGUCGAGUACCAUCGUUGGAAACCCUGAAAGCUAUACACCCUCGUAAUGAAUCGUCCGUUAAAGUGGUUGUGGUAGAUAAACUCAGGGAUUCUGGUUUAAUGGAGCUACAAAAUUGGGUCCUUCGUCUUUCUAGCAGCUCUAGCUGGACAACCGUUGAUUUGAUUUUUCAGCUUGCUAAUCUUGUUUGCAGUCGCAUGGGGGGUGUUGUUGCUUCUGAAGAAGAGUUGGCUUACCGCUGGAAGGAGUGCAGUGAAAAUUUGAGUGACCGCUUGGGUUCUGUUGUAGUUCCAAUUGGGUACUUGUUUACCGGACUUUGUGUUCAUCGUGCUGUACUGUUUAAAAUUUUGGCAGACUUGUUUAACUUACCUUGUCGAAUUGUUAAGGGGUGCAAAUACUGUAGCAGGGAUGCUGCUGCCUCCUGCCUUGUGCAAUUUGAUUAUGAAAAGGAAUAUUUGGUUGAUUUGCUUGAGAUGCCAGGAGUACUUAGCCAGCCAGACUCUUCACUUAAUAGUGCAUUGUCCAUUUCAGUUUCUUCACCACUUUGCCAUCCUAAAUUUAAAUCUGUCAAGACUGCUCAGAACUUUCAGAUGUUGGCAAAACAUUAUUUCAUUGAAUUUGGAUCUCUGUCUCUUGCUUUUGACGACAAUUCUUCUGGUGCUCGGAAAAAUCAAGAUGAGAAAAAAGUUUCAAGAAGACCUGAAGCUUUUGAUUUAAAUUACUUUGACAGGAACAACACUGCACCCACAUCUCUGAAAAAUCAUGAAAUUUUUGCAUCACCUUUUCUCAAAAGAGCUCCCCGGAAUAUCACUGAUUCUAGAGAUCAUCGAAGGCUAGUAUUUUCUGAUCCAAUUUUAAAUCUCAUGGACUCUACACACUUGGUCAAGGACUCCAAUCAACCAUGUCAUAUCCUACCACUUCACUGUAGAGAUGCUCUCCCAGAAUUUUCUAAUCCUUGGCCUGAUGCAGCUAAUACUAUGUCGUUAAUAGACCAAAAUGAGCCAAUAAAUAAUAGACCAAGCCGCGAAUUUUGUCUUGGCGAGGAGGGUUCACACAUCUUGUGGGAUGAACUCGCUUUAAUAAAGAAAAUUGGAUCAGGCUCAUUUGGAACUGUCUAUCAUGCUAAAUGGCGUGGCUCAGAUGUUGCUGUCAAAGUUCUCAAGGAACAAGAUUUCCAUGCAAAGCACUUCAAAGAAUUUCUAGAGGAGGUUGCUAUCAUGAAACGUUUGCAGCAUCCAAAUAUUGUUAGCUUUAUUGGUGCAAUUACUCAGCCACCAAACUUCUCCAUAGUUACAGAGUACUUAAAAAAUGGUUGCUUGUAUAAACUUUUAAGGAGGCCGGAUGCUGGAGUUAUACUUGAUGAAAGGCUUCGGCUGAAUAUGGCUUAUGAUGUGGCAAAGGGAAUGAAUUAUCUUCACCAACUUCAACCUCCCAUAGUCCACCGAGAUCUGAAGUCCCCAAAUCUUUUGGUUGACAGUAGAUAUACCGUAAAAGUGUGUGAUUUUGGCCUUUCCCGUUCGAAGGCAAACACAUUUCUAUCAUCCAAAACGGCUGCAGGGACGCCUGAGUGGAUGGCACCUGAAGUUCUCCGUGCUGAACUUUCGAAUGAGAAAUCUGAUGUUUAUAGCUUUGGUGUAAUCCUGUGGGAACUUAUGACCCUGCAGCAGCCAUGGAGCAAUUUGAAACAAUUAGAGGUUGUUGGAGAGGUUGGAUUCAAGAAUAAAAGACUUGAGAUUCCAACAAAUGUACAUCCCCAAGUAGCUACCUUGAUUGAGAUUUGCUGGGCCAGCGAGCUUUGGCAACGCCCUUCAUUCUCGUAUAUCAUGGAAGCUUUGCAGCAACUGAUAACCACUUUUUCACGGUGACCGGAUAACAUAAAAGUUUCACAAAGUACCUAUUGCGCGGUAAAGCACCGGUAACAACAUUUGAUUUCUUUUCUUGGCAAAUAUGGUUUAUGCUCGUAUAGUUAGAGCUCUUUGAUUAAUAUAGUUUGUUGUUGAUGUCUUAACUGAUACUUGUAAGAGAUCUAACCUACGACGACACUAAACUUGUGAAGGAAUACUUGAGUAUAGGUGAAAAUAUUUGCACAUUCAUCAAUUACUUGCUUGAAAAGAAAGGAAUACUAGAGUUUAAGAGAAAAUCCUUGCGUUCUUCAUCCAUUGCCGUGCUUUGCCUUGUCAAAUUUUGCCAACAUUGUUCCCAUGCAGUCAAGCUACCACCUUUGUCAUCUUUUAUGUGUCACGUGAUGACCAAAUUAAUUUGUACCAUGGUGAUCUGAUUGAUAUGGGACGAUUUUUCACCGUUUUAAGUUGUACGGGAAACAAAGUUUGGGAUUUUUUGUUUAUAUUUAAGCUAGGCAACACAGGUUUGAUAUUGAUUAUUUCACACUAAUUAUCUAUAAAUAUAUUAGAUACAAACAACGUGGAUGAUUGCCUAAUUUUAUUUAUAAAAUUUAUUAAUUAUUUUUAUUAAA